AUUGAACGCUGGCGGCAGGCCUAACACAUGCAAGUCGAGCGAGUGGCGGACGGGUGAGUAAUGUCUGGGGAACUGCCCGAUGGAGGGGGAUAACUACUGGAAACGGUGGCUAAUACCGCAUACCAUCGGAUGUGCCCAGAUGGGAUUAGCUAGUAGGUGGGGUAACGGCUCACCUAGGCGACGAUCCCUAGCUGGUCUGAGAGGAUGACCAGCCACACUGGAACUGAGACACGGUCCAGACUCCUACGGGAGGCAGCAGUGGGGAAUAUUGCACAAUGGGCGCAAGCCUGAUGCAGCCAUGCCGCGUGUAUGAAGAAGGCCUUCGGGUUGUAAAGUACUUUCAGCGGGGAGGCGUUACCCGCAGAAGAAGCACCGGCUAACUCCGUGCCAGCAGCCGCGGUAAUUC
rnacentral:rRNA from 1 species